CAGAAACACCAGUUCCUGUAUGACCAUCAAAGUUAAGCAACAUUGAGCUUUGUCAGUAUCUAGAUGGGUGACCCCUUGGGAAUACAAUGUGCUGUAA